rnacentral:misc_RNA from 1 species
AACGCACAUUGCGCCCCCCUUAACCGGAGGGCAUGCCUGUUCGAGCGUCAUUUACAUCUCAAUGGACGGCCUUUUGUCCGCCCGUGUUGGGCUUCGUCCGACGGACGUGGCCUCAAAGCGAUGGGCUCUGUGAGCGGGUGAGAUCUCUCGUGGACUGACCGUUUGCGGGCGCCUGGACUCUUCCAGUGUGGACCUCGGAUCAGGUAGGACUACCGCCUGAACUUAA